GACGAACGCUGGCGGCGUGCCUAAUACAUGCAAGUCGAACGCUGAAGGAGGAGCUUGCUCUUCUGGAUGAGUUGCGAACGGGUGAGUAACGCGUAGGUAACCUGCCUGGUAGCGGGGGAUAACUAUUGGAAACGAUAGCUAAUACCGCAUAACAGUAGAUGUUGCAUGACAUUUACUUAAAAGGUGCAAUUGCAUCACUACCAGAUGGACCUGCGUUGUAUUAGCUAGUUGGUGGGGUGACGGCUCACCAAGGCGACGAUACAUAGCCGACCUGAGAGGGUGAUCGGCCACACUGGGACUGAGACACGGCCCAGACUCCUACGGGAGGCAGCAGUAGGGAAUCUUCGGCAAUGGACGGAAGUCUGACCGAGCAACGCCGCGUGAGUGAAGAAGGGUGUCGGAUCGUAAAGCUCUGUUGUAAGAGAAGAACGAGUGUGAGAGUGGAAAGUUCACACUGUGACGGUAUCUUACCAGAAAGGGACGGCUAACUACGUG
rnacentral:rRNA from 1 species